rnacentral:misc_RNA from 1 species
GAUGAAGAACGUAGCGAAAUGCGAUACGUAAUGUGAAUUGCAAAAUUCAGUGAAUCAUCGAGUCUUUGAACGCACAUUGCGCCCCCUGGUAUUCCGGGGGGCAUGCCUGUCCGAGCGUCAUUGCUGCCCUCAAGCACGGCUUGUGUGUUGGGCCUCCGUCCUCCUCCCGGGGGACGGGCCCGAAAGGCAGCGGCGGCACCGCGUCCGGUCCUCGAGCGUAUGGGGCUUCGUCACCCGCUCUUGUAGGCCCGGCCGGCGCUUGCCGACACAUCAAUCUUUUUUCCAGGUUGACCUCGGAUCAGGUAGGGAUACCCGCUGAACUUAAGCAUAUCAAUAAGCGGAGGA